CCUACGGGGUGCAGCAGUGAGGAAUCUUGGUCAAUGGGCGAGAGUCUGAACCAGCCAAUUCGCGUGAGGGAGUCCUGCCCUAUGGGUUGUAAACCUCUUUUGUCGGGGAGCAAAAGCCGGACGUGUCCGGCUGUGAGAGUACCCGAAGAAAAAGCAUCGGCUAACUCCGUGCCAGCAGCCGCUGUAAUCCGGAGGAUGCGAGCGUUAUCCGGAUUUAUUGGGUUUACAGGGUGCGCAGGCGGAUUUUUAAGUCAGCGGUCACAUCGUGGGGCUCAACCCCAUCCAGCCGUUGAAACUGGGGAUCUAGAGGGUGCGAGAGGUAUGCGGAAUGCGUGGUGUAGCGGUGAAAUGCAUAGAUAUCACGCAGAACCCCGAUUGCGAAGGCAGCAUACCGGUGCACAACUGACGCUCAGGCACGAAAGCGUGGGUAUCGAACAGGAUUAGAUACCCUAGUAGUC
rnacentral:rRNA from 1 species